UUUGAAGUUUCAACGCGAAAAGUUUUGCGAAACUGCGGAAGUUUGCAAUUUUGUUAAAAUAAGUGAUAAAUAGUUAAAGUGUUAAAACAUUAUAGUCGUGCAAGUAAAGGCAGUUUGUUUAUAACAAAGGGAACAGUUGGAACGUAUCACAAGAGCUCACGUCAGAUUUUCAUCUUACAAGCAACAAAAAACAUUACGUAAUUGCAACAACAAAGCGUAUAAAUAAUCAAUCAAUGGGCUUACAAACUAAAUAAGGCUUGGUUAAAGGCAUUUAAUGGUAAGCAAGAGGCGGUAAUAUGAGGCAAGGCGUGAUUUUUUCCAUAUUUUUUUUGUUUUUGUUUUAAGGCGAGUAAGGCGUUUAGCAAGUUGGCGUCGUAUAUAAAUAAGCAAUAUUUUAAUAAAGGCAUGUUUAUUUCAUAGCAUUUGUUUAAUAAAUAAUAUAAAAAUUUUUGGUAAUCAUAAAAACCCUGUCUUUUACAGCUGUCACACACUCUCAAAGGCGUAACAAAUUCGGACAGUUCGUACGAGAUUUGCGCCUGUUGAAAACUGCAUUUUGCCGCUGCGGUGCUUUCAAAAGUGUGGUGAGUAUUAAAUUCGUGUUGAAUGCAAACAUAUAAACACAUAUAUUUGAAUGAAUUUAAAUUUUUUUUUGC